rnacentral:rRNA from 1 species
CAGUCGCCACGGUAAUACGUAGGUGGCAAGCGUUGUCCGGAAUUAUUGGGCGUAAAGGGCUCGCAGGCGGUUUCUUAAGUCUGAUGUGAAAGCCCCCGGCUCAACCGGGGAGGGUCAUUGGAAACUGGGAAACUUGAGUGCAGAAGAGGAGAGUGGAACUCCACGUGUAGCGGUGAAAUGCGUAGAGAUGUGGAGGAACACCAGUGGCGAAGGCGACUCUCUGGUCUGUAACUGACGCUGAGGAGCGAAAGCGUGGGGAGCGAACAGGAUUAGAUACCCCAGUAGUCCCUGUCUCUUAUAC